rfam:Astyanax mexicanus chromosome 7, whole genome shotgun sequence.
CCUUCGAUAGCUCAGUUGGUAGAGCGGAGGACUGUAGAGGUUGAAUACGGAUAUCCUUAGGUCGCUGGUUCGAAUCCGGCUCGAAGGA